GAACAUAACUGUCUGUGGAGAUUGAAGAGACUUCUGCAGUCAGGAAGAAGACCUGCUCACUGGUGUAAUGGGAGGGAUACAUUGUGAAGAGAGUGAUGAGGAACAAAUGAUAAGACAGAUGUGCUAUCUUCUGAGAUAAGGAUUCCUGUGUAAAGGAAUGGUCAAAGGAACGGCCACUGGCGACACUUGUAUGGAGUCACGACAGUAGGAGACGCACGCAGAGCAGACAGGGAAGGCUAUAGCUGAGAAAACACAUGGCGAUGUUAGUGUCUUGGUGACAGAGUCCUUGUUGGUCUUGCCCACUGAGAAGCCUCACUGUCUACAGCACAGGAGACACAGAACAGACUCUUGAUAACCACUGAAAAGUGUGAAUGAAACCAUGUCAACCCUCACCACACCUUUAUAACAGAGACAGAGCAGUUGUUCUCUCUCACUCUUGCGUUGGAAGAAACUUAAUAUCAGAGACUUGACCAAGUUCCUGCAGGUCACAUGUAUUAGCAUGAGUUGGGUAUCAGCGAUGUCGUGGGAUUAAAUAUGUCUUGGCUUAUGUUUACACCCUUUCCCCUCUUAUGGCAAAAUAAAUAUGUAAUAUCAGAAAUGACUUA